rnacentral:rRNA from 1 species
UACGAAGGGGGCUAGCGUUGCUCGGAAUCACUGGGCGUAAAGCGCACGUAGGCGGAUCUUUAAGUCAGGGGUGAAAUCCUGGAGCUCAACUCCAGAACUGCCUUUGAUACUGGGGAUCUCGAGUCCGGGAGAGGUGAGUGGAACUGCGAGUGUAGAGGUGAAAUUCGUAGAUAUUCGCAAGAACACCAGUGGCGAAGGCGGCUCACUGGCCCGGUACUGACGCUGAGACGCGAAAGCGUGGGGAGCGAACAGG